UGGCGGACGGGUGAGUAACGCGUGAGGAACCUGCCUUCCAUGGGGGAUAACACAUCGAAAGGUGUGCUAAUACCGCAUAACGUAUGUUUACCGCAUGGUAGAGAUACCAAAGAUUUAUUGCUGGAAGAUGGCCUCGCGUCCAAUUAGCUAGUUGGCGGGGUAAAUGCCCACCAAGGCGACGAUUGGUAGCCGGACUGAGAGGUUGAACGGCCACAUUGGGACUGAGACACGGCCCAGACUCCUACGGGAGGCAGCAUG
rnacentral:rRNA from 1 species